rnacentral:misc_RNA from 1 species
UUCCGUCGCGCCGCGUACUUGAGGAGUUGCAUGUGGCGAAUAAGCGGUGAUACGGAAGGUGGAAAGAAGCACGAAGAAAGGAAGCCCUCGAAGAAAAAAAAUAUUUUCCUCUCCGAAGACAGGAACUAAAUGUAAUUUCUUUGUUUUCAUCAAAGUGAGAAGCUCGUCCCCGCGAGUGCGCGAAUUCCCGAAGAUCUCGAUCAUCUCGCGAUUCUAGAUCAUAUGUCGAGAAUCUCCAUUGAACGAUUGUAUACACGGUUUUUUCGCUGACUAUCUUUAAAAGGACAGAAUCAUUGGGUGUCGAAUAUUCAUUCAGAAGACUGCACUUGCUCUUAGACGAGAUUGCUAUAAAAACGUCCCCUAUAGGAGAAGUUCAAGGAGCGUCUAAAAAAAUAAGAUUUUGCGAAGGAAGAUAAUCGACAUCGAUCAAGGGAUGAUUGAUGGUCGAACGGGCGCUUACGCAACUGCGGCAUUUGCAAGUGCGGGAAAAGAAGAGAAAACGCUUGAUUGCAGCGGACGGUUUGUCGUCGUAUAGGGAGGAAAAGAGUGAAGAAACGUUAGAGUGUGGCGCGCGAGACGAGAUCGCAAUGAAAGUCAAUAAACCGUGAUGAGUAACAGAGAGUAUAGUGGUCGGAGUGGCAUUAAUAAAUUAGUGUCUACUUGCUGCUGCAAGCAACAGCAGCGGCAGCAGCAAUAGUAGCAAAAGUCCGGAGGAGGAAGAGGACGAAGAGGAGGAGGAGGUGGAGGAGAAGGAGGCGGAGGUGGUGGAGAAGGAAGACCUCGGUGCGUGCGCGGUGUGUACCACGUGUAUGCAUGCGUGCGAAUACGUGUGACUGGCCGUGUCGAUGCGGGGAUUUGGCCAGUGUGUCAGUGUGAAAGAAGACAAUUGACUCGUAGCCGCAGUCCGUCGGACGGUGCUCGGCACGGCGGGGGCCUUCUGACGUCACAUCCUGCCCCGCGGCCUGUACGAGCCGCGAUCUCAUCUGGACCACGGCGCACGAAAGCGAAUGAAGAACGAUGAUCCAUCGCGACAAGAGGAUCCUUGGGAUCUUUGUCUUGCUCAAUGUAAUCGCAAAAAUUCCAGCGAAUCGCACGGAUUCGCCAAAAACAGACAUGAUUGAAGAAACGGAAGUUUUUACUACGACGAAAAGGAUUCUACCGGACAGGUGUCUUGUCAAAACGGAACCGGGACCCUGCAAGCAGUUCGUACACAAGUGGACCUUCAACAAAGCGGAAGGAAAAUGUCGAACCUUUCCGUACGGCGGUUGUGCAGGAAAUGAAAAUCGAUUUAACUCAGAAGCCGAAUGCCUUCAUUACUGUAUCGGCGGUGCUGAUCAUACGCUACCGCCUUAUCUUGUGACGAAAGGCAGCGUAUUUGUCACAUCGAGCACCACGACAACCAGCACUCCACCUCCCACGACUUCCAGCACUUCACGACCGACCUUCAAACCACCGGAACCGACAAAGCCGCCGGUACCGAAGCAUCAACGAGGAAAAGAAUUAACUUUCAUGGAAACUGGCUACGAGAAGACGUUUAUGUUCGCACAAAGCAAUACUUUCAUCCAGCUCGAUGGCCCUGGCAUCAAAACCUUUCAGCUGAGAUUAUGCCGCGAGAUAUCUUUCAAAUUUCGCACAAAACUCCCACACGGCUUGCUAGUUUAUCACAGCGUGAAAGAUCGUCCGGAAAGCCUCGAUCCUUACGCUCUUUACGUGAUAGUGGAAAAGGGUCAGCUAAAGGUAGUUCAUGUAUUUGGCAAGCAAUCAACUAGUUUGACAGUCGGCGAAGGGCUUAACAGGGACGAAUGGCAUAGCGUUCUCGUGAGGAUCGAUGUGCAUGGAGCAAAAUUGAUUGCUAGAGUCGACGAUAAACAGGGUGAGACCACUCUAAAAGUCCUGGAACGCGUCAUAAAUUAUGGAGUAUCCGAGGAAUUAGCCUCAGUCGUUCUUAUCGGAGGAUUGAGUUCCGAAGAACGAUUGCACGGCGUGAAAUAUAUAAUCGAGUCCUUCGUCGGUUGCAUCAGAGAUAUGGUUCUGAGUUCCGGAAAAUCUGCCAGCGAUUUGCUACCUAUUCGACCGCUAAUCGCGACCAAACACGAGAAUGUUAAGGAAGGCUGUAUCGAUAAAUGCAGAACACGAGAAAAUUUGUGCUUCGUCCCUAAUCAAUGUGUGAAUCACUAUAAUAGUCUGACGUGUGACUGCUUCGGAACGAAGUACGAGGGUGAACGUUGCGACGUGUACACCGCGACGAUACUAACGCUGAGAGGUUCCUCAUACGUGUCCUUUCGCGUGUAUGAUUGGAAGGAUCGUGUUCACUCAUCUGUCAACAGGAUCAGUCUUGCUUUCAAGACAAAAUGGGAUGAUUCCGUCCUGUUUUAUGCUUCCGGCGAAAUUGACGGGACACCACAUUACGUCGCAGCUUGCAUUAUAAACGGAUCGGUUUACGUUGAGCUCGAUUUUGGGCAUAAUUCAAAGAUCUCUACUAUGCUGGGCGAUUACGUCACGUCUGAUCAUUGGAAUAACUUGACUAUAUUUCACAACGGAUCCCUAGUCUUCGUCAGUUUAGACGAUGAUGUGAAGGUGCUAGAAAUACCUGGAGAAAAUUACAAUAUGAUUAUCGAUCCGGAGAUAUACAUCGGCGGUGGCCCAGAGCUCCAAAAGAAAAAGGGCCUUCUCUCGCACAAUAAUUUUGCAGGUUCCUUAAAAUAUGUAUUCUUUAACGACAAGUCAAUUAUAUACGAACUAAAACGCUCCAAUCCCAUGGUGCACUAUAUUGGCGUGCUGGAGCCCGAAUACUACGAAGCCGACGUCGAAGUCAUUCCGAUCACUUAUCCCUUCGCAGGAAGUCACAUCUGGUGGCCCAUCGAGCGCACCGAUUCGCUGAAUUUAAAAUUCGAUUUCAAGAGUUCAAAGCCGAUUGCAGUAGUCGCUUCGGGAAACGUGAAGAGCAAUCGUGGUAUUGGCUACUGGGAGCUACGUCAAGUCAAUGAUGAAAUUCGUUUCCAAUUGAUACCAGUCGUAACGGAAAACAUUACGGUGUCAGCUUCCGUAAAAUUUCCACCUUACAAUACCUCCUGGCACGCAAUCGAGCUUAAUUAUACAAAGGACGAGCUCAACCUCGUGCUCGACUAUAAAAAUAAGCAGAGCAAGCACUUCGGCACUAUGACGUUCGAGCUGGGUGAUAAAGUCAUUAUAGGAAGUGGUAAAAGCAACGCAGGUUUAGUAGGAUGUAUGCGUGAGAUACAAGUGAACAAUCAAAGAAUCGAACCUAGAUAUGUGAUUAACACCGAGAGAGUAAUCGGAGAAGUCGCUUUAGACAAUUGUCAAUUUGUGGAUCCAUGCAAGAGGCCGAACACCUGCGAACACGGUGGUAAAUGCUCGGUGAAAGAAGACAGAAUCACGUGCGAUUGCGCAGACACGGGAUAUAUGGGACAAAAUUGCCACUUUGCACAAUACCGAAAGACCUGCGAGGAAUUGGCUCUUCUGGGAUAUACGCAAGAUGAUGUUUACAAAAUCGACAUCGAUGGAAAUGGCCGAUUUCCGCCCGCCUUAGUAAAGUGCGAAUUUCAAUCGAUCGAAGAUUCGACCAAAACGAUCGUCGAACACAAUUUACCCUCCCAAGUGGAUGUCAGAUCCAUCAUCGAGAGCGACUUUACUUUCAGCAUCAAGUAUAGGCAGUUCAGCGCUGAGAUGCUUCAGGAGUUGAUCUCGCAUUCGCUUUAUUGUAGUCAAUACGUAAAAUACGACUGUUACAAGGCACCUUUGGAGUUGCACAGUGCCACGUGGUUCCAGUCCUCUAAAGGCACCACUGUCGAUUACAUCGGAGAAGUCAAUCGCGGAUCCUGCCCUUGCGGAAUGAACAGAACAUGCGUGCACUCCAACUUGAGCUGUAAUUGCGACGUGUCCGCCGGAAAUGCGGGAAAAUGGUUGUCGGACGAAGGAUAUUACGAAACACCUGAUUCAUUAGGCAUCAUCGGAAUGGUGUUUUUGCAACAGAGAGACCUCGAAGAAGAUGCUCGAGGACGUAUUACCUUAGGGCCACUAGAAUGCGUUGAAACAAACACACAGAAGUACGUGGUAACGUUUACGACAUCGCAAUCGUACAUCGAAGUGCCGGGUUGGAGAAAAGGUGACAUAGCCUUCAGCUUCCGAACAACCGGCGAGAAGGCUAUUCUUCUGUAUCAGCCACCGAUUCGAAGCAACUAUCCUUCCUUCAUGGUUGCAUUAACAUCCGAAUAUCGAUUGACCUUCCAUUUCACUCUGAAUACCGGUAAGGUUCGCGAACUAGAGGUGAAAAGUCGGCGCAAGUUGAAUAAUGGCGAGUGGCAGAAGAUUUGGAUCGACUACAACGACUAUCACGUGAGAUUCAUGAUCAAUACCGACUUCCAAAUGAUAGAUUUGUUGCCCGAAGAGGAGUUCGGGCCUUUCGAAGGAUCUAUGUUCAUCGGUGGCGCUACCGCAGAGCACUUGAAAGCUUCUUCCGUUCGACAAGGUCUCAUCGGUUGUUUUCGCGGUCUCGUUGUCAACGGAGAAAUAUUAGAUAUCCACAGUUAUAUGUCGGUGCAUCUGUCGGAAAUUAUCAAGGACUGCAAGCCUUCGUGUCAACCUAAUAAGUGCGAGAACGGCGCCAGGUGCGUCGAGCUGUGGAGCAACUUCGAAUGCGUGUGCGAGAAUAAAUGGGCGCACUUGGGCACUUAUUGCGAAACAAAUAUCAAUAAUAAAGCCCUCACAUUUACUUCACCCGAAGCGUUCUUGAAGAAAAACUACUUCGGAUCGGACGAUAACGAGGAAAGGCUACAACUGAAAAGCAUGCUGCAGGAGAAUAUUUUGAUUAACUUAAGAACCUACGAUACUCAUUCUCUAAUACUUUACGCGAAUGAUCAUUUAAAUAACUUCGUGCAUCUCUACAUCUCCAACGGUACCAACAUCGUGUAUCUCUUCAACGCUGGCAAUGAGAUUAAGAACAUCACAGUAGUAAAUCCAAAUGUCAACACGGGAAUCUCGAUGCAAAUCGCUAUAAUUCGAGGCGAGAAUUGGACCACGCUACACGUGAACGAAUAUAAUGUCACAUUAAACGCAACACCCAUACUUCUGGAAACGUAUUCGAACAAGCCGUGGACGAAUCCAGAGAAAGAAGUUUUAGCGCCGCAACGGCCACCGGCACCCCCCACCGAUUAUUUCCAAGUAAAUUUAGGAGGAUUUGAUCCUGAUAAUCUGUUGAGAGUCGGCAAGGAAGGAGCCUUAAUUCACGGUUACGUUGGUUGCUUGCGAGGGCUUAUGAUCGGCAAGUAUCUCGUUGAUCUGCCGAAUUUGGCUAGCGAAGCGAAUCGCGAAGGCAGCAAAGUUCUUGGAGUUCUACCGAAUUGUCAAAUGAAAUGUGACGCGAUGCCCUGCAAGAAUUUAGGAAUCUGCACGGAAGAUUUUGGCAGGCAGGAGUCCUCCUGCAACUGCGAGCUAACGUCCUAUUUUGGCGAACAUUGUGCCGACGAAAAAGGCGCCGACUUCAGCGGAGAGAGUAUACUUCAGCGCGAAUUCGAGCUCGAGGGCGAGGUGAACCAGGUGAAGGUUCAGCUGGCGUUCUCGGCAAACGAGUUGCGACAGCGAACCACCGCGUUGCUGCUGAUACAAACCGACAACAAAAGGAGCUAUUAUUUACUGGUGGCCUUAACAUCCGAGGGACAUCUUAUCUUCGAGGAGGAUAGGGACGGUGCAGCAGCUUACGGCGUGCGUUUGAUCGAUCGGAACUUCCUGAACGGUGCACGUCACAGCGUCUAUUAUGUUCGCGACAAUAAUACGGCUACUCUUUUGAUCGACCGCGAACUCGUCCAAUUGCUACCAAUUCCGCUCGGAGCGCCGAUUCCAGCGGACGAAGACGAAAGUCUGGGCGCUACGGAGAUUCAGCUUGGUGGAUUGAACACCACCGAUCCGCGAUUCAGCGCCUACAAAGGAUACACUGGUUGUCUGAGCAAUGUUGUAAUAUCGAUCAAUGAAGGUGCCGGCAUGAAGCCGUUGGAAGAAUAUAUGCUCUUUACGAAACAAGGCAGCGAGACCGUCCGCGCGACGAUACCCGCUGGCGUUAGAAGUGCCCAAUGCGCGGUCUUUCAUGCUCAAUCUGGCGGUCCUGAACCGCCCAGAAACGAUAGCGUGGGUCGUGACAAGGCAUGGGUCGAGGACCCGCCGGAGAGAAAUGUGUACACCUCGCAGUAUUCAGGCGCCACGCAGGAGGAGCAAGGGGCAGGAACAUACAUUUUCAUAGCUUUGUGCUGCGUUUUCGUGGCCGCGGUGAUCGGGUGCAUUUACGAAGUGUGGCGAAGCGCACGCAAGGAUCGCCAACGACGUCGCAGUGCGGCAUCCGCAGCGUCGACGACUGCCGCGGUCGCUUCCGGCUCGCAGCGGUGGCAAUCACAACAGUACACGGAAUCCUUAGUGACCGGCUCUAACGUGAAAACGGUUGGUUUCAAGAACGUGGACGAUGACAAAAGGCCAAACGGCACUCAUGUGAAAGUACCAAGUGCCAAAGAAUAUAAACCGUUGCCAAACACGGAUCCCAAGGACUUAAUAAACGACAAGAAAGUUCACAUAAAAGCAGACGAAGAACCAGAGAAAAAGGAGCUCCUAGGGGUAAAUACAGGCAUCGUCACUAAAGCUGCGAAACCGAAUCCAUUCUCGAUGGAAGAUCUGCAAGAAGAGCCUGAGCUGGAAGAGCGCGAGGAGAAAGAGGUGGAAGAAGAAGAGGAGGAAAAAGAAAAGGAGGAAAACACGAAAGAGCCAGAGGUGGACGAGAAUAAAGAAGAAGAGGAAAAGAAUGAGAGCAACGAACAAGAUGACGAGCUUCUGCUUAGGCCGCACAAGAAUUGGUCAUCUAGAACGAGUGUCGAGGAGAGCGUUAUACCGUUAGACUCCAUUAUAAAACCUGACGAAACGAAAAUACCGUGCAAACUAUAGAGGCGCCUGCGGACCAAGACAAUUGGAGACAAUCAAAAACGCAAGGAAAUUUUUUAGCGUCAAGAAAACCGAUAUUCUUCAAUCUGUC